UUAAAUUGAAGAGUUUGAUCAUGGCUCAGAUUGAACGCUGGCGGCAGGCCUAACACAUGCAAGUCGAACGGUAACAGGAAACAGCUUGCUGUUUCGCUGACGAGUGGCGGACGGGUGAGUAAUGUCUGGGAAACUGCCUGAUGGAGGGGGAUAACUACUGGAAACGGUAGCUAAUACCGCAUAACGUCGCAAGACCAAAGAGGGGGACCUUCGGGCCUCUUGCCAUCGGAUGUGCCCA
rnacentral:rRNA from 1 species